CCCCUAGAUGUUCUGGGCCGCACGCGCGCUACACUGAACAGUUCAACAAGUCUUAACCUUGGCUCGAGAGGCCUGGGCAACCUUUGAACGCCAGUCGUGCUGGGGAUAGAUUCUUGCAAUUAUUAAUCUUCAACGAGGAAUUCCUAGUAAACGCAAGUCAUCAGCUUGCAUUGAUUACGUCCCUGCCCUUUGUACACACCGCCCGUCGCACCUACCGAUUGAAUGGUCCGGUGAAAUCCUCGGAUCGAGCCGUGGGGCAACUCCGGUUCGAGAAGUUGAUUAAACCUUACCAUUUAGAGGAAGGUGAAGUCGUAACA
rnacentral:rRNA from 1 species